GCGUCACACAAGUAUAAGAAGUAACCCAGGUACAACCACAACCAAAUGAAUAUACAAAUAACCAACAAUUAUAUAUUCAUACACCACUCACAUCACAGGUUCACAUUUAUAUAUUCGAUAUUUAAAUAUAAAUCCACAUCUAUCAGUUAAAAUAUUUCCAACCACAGAAAUAGGUUUUGAAAUACUAAGAUGCAAAAUUCACAGAAAACCUUUUGAAAACUGUUUCCUACACGGAAACCUUUAUUCUUUAAAAACGCUACCACGAGGGGUAGAAAACCUUUUAUUUUACAAAAUCCAGAAAUCCGUUUAUUACAUUCACAAAAAUCCAUAUUUUCAAAUGUAAUAAAAGUACUGAACCAUAUAACUAUCUAAGCUAUAACAACUGAAAUAAUAAGGGUAAUAACUAUACCGAAAUAACCUGGGUCGGAAGCUCUAUCGACCGCUACACACGUACCUCACGUCUCGUCCCACUACUCAUCGCCCGCGAUACCUGAAAAAUGGUGGGGGAGGUGAGAACAUGUAAACAUGUCUUCCCUCCCAGUGGGUACCGCAAGCCGAAGAGGGCGUGGAGUACUCACCGGAUCAGGAGGAGCUAUAUAACAACACGGGUCAGUGAAAAUAUAGUAGCAACAAUAAUAACGAAAGAGAUAUGUAAGGUAAUGAGCAGAUAUAACGAAUACAGUAGCAAUAAACUGAAAGAAAGUAAGAACUAGACUGAAUAACGGCUACCGCUACUGUAACUGGAACCGAAAGCAUACAUGAAUGUCUACUAUAGUAGCAAGACAACUAUAACGUAUGAACUGCAAAUAUGCAUGGAACGACUGCUACGAUAGACAUAUGCGUCAACCGGUUAAGAAGUCCAAAAGUAGCCAAUCUGAAACCAAUGCUCUCUUGGUCAGCACCGCAAACCUCAAGCCAAUGCCACUACUAUUCUCCAGUGCAUAUAACCCCUCUAGGGAUCACGGGUUGUCACCAUUCAACCACUUUUUCGGAAAAGAACACUCCUUGCGGUAGAUCAGACCGCCAGUGUUCGUGAAAUGUGACGGGUAUCGGGCGAUCAAUGCAAUAUGCUCAAUGAUCAACCGUCGGCAACCAGCCGACAAUCCUGCCCCCCAGGGCCCAUCGACCGCAUAGGUCGUCAACUGUAAAGAAGCACAAGAACCGACCACUUAGGUCAACUAGGAUGGGACAACAUCGACAUCCUCUCAAACAUAUGCAAAUACUGCUCAAUGAACCACAAGGACUGACCACUCAGAUCAACUAGGAUAUGAAACUCGACCAAUCACGUCACAAGUACAGGAUAUGAAACUCGACCAAUCAUGUCACAAGUAUAGGAUAUGAAACUCGACCAAUCACGUCACAAGUAUAGGAUAUGAAACUCGACCAAUCAUGUCACAAGUAUAGGAUAUGAAACUCGACCAAUCAUGUCACAAGUAUAGGAUAUGAGACUCGACCAAUCAUGUCACAAGUAUAGGAUAUGAGACUCGACCAAUCAUGUCACAAGUAUAGGAUAUGAGUAAAGUAUAAUCAUUCGUCGGCAACUAACCGACAAUCCCACACCUCAGGGUAUACCGAUCUCAACGGUCAUCAGACAACAAAGGUCGAGGAACUCACCGAAUAGGUCACAAAUACUGAAUAUUAGAAUCGACCGACUAGAUCGCUAAUCUCACAGAUAAUCACGGAAUCGCUCUACUAUAAAUAUGAAACAGGAUAUGCAGAAUAGCUAAGUAGAGCAACAAGGAAACAUGGUAUCACAUACAGAUAGACUAUACUCCUACACAUGAUACUAAGCAUGGAAACAUCUGAGUAGAGUAUAAUCAAACAACGUGGGUGUAAUGUAAACAAUAGAGGUGCAAAGCUCAACAUAUAAUAUAAGCAUGGAUAAUAACAAAAGAGCAAGGGUAAGAAACCAUCACCGAGCGUGCACCACUGUACCAACGUCGGAUCGAAGUACCCACCUGUACAACUGUCACGCCUGUCUCCUGACUGCAAAAGAACGUCAACGGGACCUAAGGAGGGUCCACUGGGUUAGUGUCUAACCCACAACUAAGAAACCCUAAGAGUAUAACCCCAUAAAUAAACCCACAAGAAUCGGUUUCCCAAACCGAUCGUCGUAAUACGCCGGAAAUCCCGUAAUCGCACCGAGACUCUGCAGGGACCCACGGACUAUCCCGGAAGGCACCGACUCGUACCACGAGUCACCCGCUGCCCCUAAAUACAAAUUUACGUGUGACUUGGCAGCAUAGACCUUACCUUACUCCAAAACGAUUAUCGUCGGAUAAUCGUUCCGAUCCGGGUUCCCGGAAGUGUCUAUUUCGACACCGGAACCCACCGUCGCUCACCCGUAAUUUCUGAACUCUCGAAACGACGCGAGUGACCAGCCAACAAGGCUCAGCGACGUUACAGUCAAUCACGAGGCACCGUCGGAUGAAUUCCGAAUCGAAAACGCGUUCUAUCGGCGGAUUUUGCCGAAAAAUGCUCCGAAAAUCACUUUUCGAUUUCCGCAAGGGCUUGGGGCCUUGGAUGAUCAGUCCAGAGGUUAUCCUCAGCCCAAACAUGCUGCCAACAGCAUCCGCGAUGAACAAAGUUGCAUAAAAGCCCUUCCGAAUACCCGAAAUCGCAUUAUUUCAUGCGAUUUCGGCGCUUUUAUGGUCCGUCCACGCAAACCAGAGGUCAAUCAGCCGAGCCAAGAUGCCCACUGGCAGGUUUCGACGUACCGGAGGCCGUGCUCACCUUUCGGAGCAAUUUCGGCCACUGAGGCGAGCGCGGGAGCGAGAUGAACUUCAGCGGACUGCGCGCACAGCAUAAAGAACAUGCUUACCUCGCAAAUCAGAGGCUCUCAGACUCCAAUGAAGGUGGCCACAAUGAUCAGCACUGAACCAGGAUCAUCGUGCUCACCUUCAGAAGACUUGGGGUGGCCUCCGUUCACCGGAACAGUGACCGGAACCCUAAGACAAGGUGCAGAAAGCUAUUAAGUAACUCACCGGAGCAAGGUAAGGCACGGGACGGCCGGCGGCGGCCGGACGGUGGGCUAGCCAGCCACGGGAAGGUGCGGCCAGUGCGGGGAGGCUAGGGCGCGCGUCGGCCGACAACGGGAGGCGGCGGAGGCGGCGAACGAUGAUGCCCUAGCCGCACAACCUAUGGAGAGCUCGGGCUCAUCCCGGUUGACAGGGUGCUCCGACGGCGGGGUAGCCGGUGGCGCACGGGUGCGGCCGUCCAGGCGGAGCCGAUGCUCACGCCGGCCGGCGGCGGAAGGCGGCGGCGGCGGUGCUGGGUGUGGCUCGGCCUGCACAGACCCUGCGCGGCCACAGGGAGUGGGAGCGGCGGCCGGCGGCCACGGGGACGGCGGCGAUGGCACGCAGAGGGUCUCAGGAGACCUAGGAGGUCGACGCGCCCGAUUGAGGGCGGUGGUAGUGCGCGACCAUCAAACUGGGCCGAGCUUGGUCCCAACCGGGUCUGGGCUGACCAAGCGGGGCAGGUUUGGUUCCGGCGGCGCUUGCGGGCGGCGGGGAUGAUGCCGGUGGUCGACCUCAGCCAGAGGGAACAGGACUAGAUGAUUGUGGUGGUUCUCCAAGGGUGUGGCAGAGUUGGUCGAGGCAAAUUGGAGGGAGAAGGCAAUAGAGGCCCUCUCCGGCGGACGGAGGAGGUCGACGGCGGCCAGGGUAGGAAUAGCAGGGUGCCGAAGGGGUGAUGGACUCUACUGGGGCGCAGCAAGGGCUAGAGCAACCAUUAGGGUUAGGGUUUCCAUGGAGAAACCCUAAGUUAGUUUUAUAUAGCAUGGCAAAAAUGCAUUUUAAUCCUCCGAAACCUUCUAAUAUCGGUCCAGUCCCUCAUCACGCGUGUAAUAUGCACGUACACCCCUCCACGACCGAUCUCUCGCAAUUUGGUACAUAAAAUAUUAAGACUUUUGCAAAAUUAUCGGUUUUGCCAAUUCGACUCCUCAGCGAACAUUUUGCGUUUUCCGAAAAUCCGUCCGUCGGAUUUUCGAUCCGACAGCGCCAUCGCGUUCAGCACGACGGGGGCAUCGAAACUACGAUUUCGUUUCAUCUGAUUUGCUUGCCGAUUUGCGACAAAAUCUGACCUUUCUCCAACUAAUCCAUAUAUCACACAUAGGCUUUGGUGGAAAACCGAAAUCCUUUAAUUCAAACUCGUAUUUGAAUUCCCUACCACCCGUAGGUACUUGAAACAUCUCUCACCCAUCUCCAGAUCACUUGUACAAAGCACGAGGAGUUUUAAAAUGCACGAAUAGCAAAGAGCGAAAACCCUCCUUUUGUUAAAACUCCUUUUUCUCGAAAAUCGUGCAUCGGAUCUGAAAUCCGUCAGUGCCACUGGUUCCAGAAUAGCUGACCCGAUUGAAACGAGCUAUUGGAUCGCUAUGAACGGAGUUCGAUACGCGGCGAAAGCCAACUCUACUCCGUGGCUUCACUGAAAAACCGGGUUACUAUUCACUUUAAGUGAAAACUAAUAAUCGCGUAACUUCUCCAUUCUAGUUCAUAUUCUCCUGAAACUUGACGAGUGCUUAUGUAACUAAAUUACACACAUAAACAUCAUCAACAGAGAGUUUAUUUGCACUGUAAAAAUCUCAGUCCUUACAACCCGAUCGAUUUUUGUCUCACGAAUCGAAUGAGUCGCAUACCAUACGGAUGGUGUCAAUACUCUCUUCAUGAUUCACCAAUCAAUGAAGAGUAAAGAAGUUGAUCGGAGAGUAAUACGAGUUCAGGAGAAAACUUCGGAGAAAGUUUGAUGUAUAUGGAGUAGUUAUCUCCCAAAAGAGGUUAAGUAACAAGCAUAGCUCCUGGAUUGUCAGAUGGGUGAAUAUAAUAUGGAGAAUAAACAUCGAUUUCGGAUGUAAAAUUAUUAGCAACUUCUUUCGCCAUAGCAUCUUCUUUUGCCAUAAAAAAAAAAUUACUAGGUACAGAACUUCCAAUUCUCUGAUACCAUGCAUGUGAAAAAUGAUUAAGUGGAAAAGAGUAAAAAAUUCAAAUUGGAAUGAUAGACAUUCGUCUCACUUUACUAAAAUUUGAUAGUAUGUAUAAGAUUUACAUCAUGAAUUAAUCGAGAAAGGAAAAAAUAAUACAAAAUAUUAUUGCCUUAUAUGAGCAGUCAUUAAAUCCAUUAUUGCCUUCUAUUUGCCAUCAUUAAAUCUAUUUAAAAAAACCAGCUGAAACCGACGGUUCCUAAAACAAGUGGCAAAGGACUUGGUGGUUGGUAUCCGAGAUCCCAAGUUCGAAUCCUAAUUGGUUCACACAUGCAUUUCGAGCUAAGUUUAUUUCUAAAUGAAAUAAACGUUUUAGAAAUAAACGAAGCGGGUAGCGUGCUAUCUAUCUCUCUCUCAAAUAAAAAAAAAAAAAAAAAACCAGCUGAAUUGGCAAGACAAUUUUGGUCCAAAAUUGUUAGACAAAUCUCCAUCAUUCUCUCCAUCAAAUAUAGAAACUUUAUUUUCUAAUAAUACGAAAUUAAGUGCCGUAUGAUUUGUUUUUUAAUUAAUUUUUAUUUCACAUCCAUAGGUAUACAUAUGUAGAGUCCGGCUGGGAUACUAUCGAUAGUACCAAGGGAUUGGUGCUAUCGAGUUUUCCACUGUUAGAUUUAAUCCUUUGAUUAUUUUUAUUCGUUAGAUCAUGCUAUUUAACCAACUACUCACUCAACCCUAGGGGACCCACAUCAUCCUAACCACACAUUCCUCAAUCUAAUGGCUAGGAAACUAAUAGCACCAAUAGCUUGGUGCUAUUGAUAGUAUUACAGCCUAGUUCUACAUAUGUAUACCUACAUAAAUAUAAAUCUAUUUAGUAAAAUCUUAUCUACUAAAAUUUGCUCUCUUCAAUAAAAUUUUAUAAUUAAAUAUUUAUACUGUCACGCCCCGGAUUACCACGUAUCCCCAGGCACACCAACAGACCUGUCGUAUACAUAGAAAUCUUCAUAUAUACGAAGCGAUAGCUGUACCUAUAAACAAAUUAUAGCUACAACCAAGUGUAUCGAGCUGCUAAACUGAAACAUGAAUAUAUAUAUAUAUAUAUUAUAUAUAUAUAUAUAUAUAUAUAUAUAUAUAUAUAUAUAUAUAUAUAUAUAUAUACAUAAAGGGGGUUACUAUACAUACAAAAGUCCACGACCCAUCUCGCUCCAACGAGUACAAUGAUAACAUAACAAUAUGUACAUAGAAAGCCUCGAAACUACCUCUGUAUGCUACUCCUCUAGCACGGCGACCAGACUGGUAGAGAUCUAGCUCGCGACUCCCUUCCCACUGUCAGAAUCAGUAACAGCAGCAGCCGCAAACAAAAACUCUGCAAAAAGGGGUCAACAACUGGAUGUGAGAAUUACUGCAAAACAGAGUAGUCCUUAGUGGGUACCGCCACCGACCUCAACAGUGUAGUGUUUCUGAGCUUUGGAUAGGAUUGGCUUUGAUAUUAGUGACUGGUCGACACAUCUGGAGAGUGUCGGACUGAGUCGUAGUCGUUUCUGUACGAAUUGGAUGCAGAAAUUGACUCGGCGCACUCAAUUAAGUAAAACUGGAGUUUUGCCAGAUUCGGGCGCCCAGAACACGGUUUAGGUCGCCCAGAAUUGAGUGCUGAAUUUAACUGAAACUGGAAGCCAAUUCGGAUCCUAUAUUUCGGGCGCCCAAAAGUGGGUCCGAAAAUUUUACAUCGUUAAUAUCGUUUGUGUUGACACGUAGCUGGUGGUAGAUGAGAUCCGCCGGAGACGUUUACGGGUGCAACACACCACGAGCGAAGAGUCCGAGGAGGAAGAUUUGUGCAGCCUAGAGGUUUCGGGUGCCCAGGAUUGGGUUUCGGGCAUCCAGAAAUGCCCGUUUCUGCAGGGACACUAGGUUAGCAGCUUUGGAACCUGGGGCUUAUUUUAUCCUUCCAGCACUCUAUAAAUAGGGGGAGCUUGACCUCAGUGAAGCCUUUUCGUCCAAUUUUCACACUGAACCCUUAAAUUGCAUUUCCAACCCUCAAAUCUACUCAAAUUGCUUCAAGAUCCACAACUCCAAGCUUGAUAGGUGCUGAUUCUGCAGUUCUUCAGCGAUGAUCUCCAGUGUUUUGGCUCGUACGCGAUGUAAGAAAGUCGGAUCGCGGUGAAACUUGGUUUGCUGGAUUCUAGACUUCCAGAGGAAUCCAGAAGCCCUGAAUUGCAGAUUUUGGUUGAGGUUAUCUUGGUCGAUUCCAUGUUUUUCUGGACUGCUGUUACUUUGAAGCUGAAUUUGAGUUUUAGUGGUUUUUCAAUGCAAUUCUUGGAUGGAACAGGGGUUUUGGACCUGAGAUUUGUACUCCAUCCUUAUUCACUGGAUUUGGAACUUGUCUCACCUGAAUUGGAGAUUAUUAGGUGAGUUUUGACAUUAGAGUUGAGAUAAUUAAGCUUAAGUGCUGAAAUUUUGGUGAAUUGAUGGAUUUUGGUAUUUUUGGUGCUUGAACCUCGAUGUAGCUUUGUUGCUGGACUUGAGGGUGUUUCGGUUGAUCCAUCAGGUUUUUCGCAGCUAAGAGAGAGUUCUUUUCUGCCAGGGAUUAGCUCUUGAGGUGGGUUUACAUCGGUUUUACUCCUAAGCCCGUAUUAGUCGACAUGUGUGAUUUCAGCUUUUGGUAGAUCAUGUGUUAGCUCAAUUUCUUUGAUUAGAUCAUGUAUGAAAUCAAAAUUGAGAGCAUGAUUAAUAAUUCGAUAAAUAUGCAUGUUGGACUUGGAAUUAGACUUAGGAGAAAACCCGCGUUUUGACCCGUCAUAUGAUUCUACUACCUGAUUUAGCUCUAGGAGCCGUGGUUUGAUUAUAUCACCGCUGUUUCAGCGCGGUGGAUACCUGGGAUAGUUUAGAAUACAUUUACGCUCGUGCUGGGAUGCCGAGCUGAUUUUUACAGCAGAGUCUAGGCUGUUUCGGAUUGUCGGGUGCCGUCGGGGUGGACGGUGGACCCAGAUUCCUGUUUUUGGUCUCAGAUUGUGCCGAGGGCAUGUGGGUUCGGUUUCUAGACCUGUUUUGACCCUAACUACUUGUCUUUGGCUUGUUAGAGUCUGAUUAAGCUCGACAGAGAUACGUUUGCAUACUCGGUUGGGUAGCGCCCACGAGUGCCACUCCGGACUUUGGCUUAGUGCUUUUGCGUUGGUGUCGUUCGUGCAGGUUGGAUUUGCUCUCCACGGACUUGUUAGUGUGGAGGUAGCUGGUUAGUUGCAACCUUGCGGGAUGGGUGUGUUCACAGUCCCAAGGAUGGGUAUGAUUACAGUCCCUAUUCGAGAUUGGGUCUGAGUUGACACUGCUCUACAGUUCGUUAGAUUAGAGCAUGAUAGUAUAGAGGCAGAUAGCUGUAGAUAUGUUCCAGCUUUCCUUACUAUUUCUUGCUUACCCCUGUAGACUUAGUAGGUGGACCGAUGAGUUGAGGGCGGUACCCACUGAGGACUACUUCUUUUUGUAGUAGUUCUCAUGCCCAGUUUGUUCCCAUCUGUUUUGCAGAGCCAUCGUCUUCGGCUGCUGCUGUCGCUGAUCUUAAUCGUGGCAAGGGCGUCGCGAGUUAGAGCCCUUCCAUUCGAGGUGCUGAGCUAGUGGAGGACCGCUGCAGGUAGUGUAGUUUUGGUUUAUACAUACAGAUGUUGUACUCUCGCAAGUGCGAGUGCUUUUGUAUCUUGGAUCUUAUGUAUGUAUAGAACCACAGUUUAUAUUUGCAUGUUUUAUUCUUUUCUCCUAGCUGCUUUAUACUUUUGUCUGUAGUAUUGUAUGAUUACAGGUACUUUUACUUUUCGCUUCGUAUACAGAGAAAAUACAUAUGUAUACGGCUGGUUUAUUAGCGAGCCCGGGGAAACGAGUAAUUCGGGGCGUGACAAACGGUCUACCCACUAAGUCUACAAAAAUAUGUGCAAAGGAUAGUAAAGAAAGCUGGAAAGAACUCUACAGCUACAUGCCACUAAACUAUCGCUAACCAACACAAUUUAAUUGUAGAUAAAAAUAUGCAUCAUACUAACCCAAUCUCACUAGGGCUGCCCAAACGAACUCAUCCUGCCUGUAACCAAACUAUACCAUACACCACCCACGGGGAUGGUCGGUCUAAGUAAACAGUCCAAAACAGGACGGCUGCGACAUCAACGCAAGUAAAAUCCUCACUCUGGAGCGGCACUCGUGGACGCAACCCAACAGAGUGUGCAAACGUAUCUCUGCCGAGCUCAAUCAGGCUCUCACAGGCUGUAGUCAAUGCAAAUGGGUCUAACUGGUCUAAGAACCAAAGCUUACGUGCUCUUGACACAAUCUGAUGCAAAAUAUAGAAAUCUGGAUCCACCGUCAACCACGACGGCAACCAACAGUAUGGAACAGUCUAUACUCUACUGUAAAACGAGCACGACCUUCGAACACGAGCGUAGACUCAUUCUACACUAAUCUGAGUAUCCAGUACGCACUAACAGCGAGGAUACAAAAGAAUUACAGCUCCUAAAGCUAAAUCUGGUAAUUUUUCAAAAAAUAACAAUGUAGGUUUAACGUGUUUUCUUCUAAGUCAAUUUUCAGUUCAACAUAUAAAAAGAUUCUAAAAUUAAGGCUCCAAAUUCAGAUUUCAUGAAAGCUAUGCAAAUCAAUGAAUUGAGCUACUAAAUAUGAUACUAUACAUAAAACCAUACGUGCUGACAAAACUCCAACUUAGGAGGAAAUCCGACGAUUUAGGUAAACAUCAACCCACCUCGAGCGCUCGUCCAACGUCGGCAAGGAAUUGACAGAAGGAAUCCCACGCGUUCGCUUGACCUCCCACGGCUCAACCGAGACACCCACGUGCACGAACGGUCCUCCGGAGAAGCGAUAAAUAAGAAUGAGCUCGAUCCGCGACUCCCCAACGAAGGGCGUUCACCAACUAGAGAGAGAAAGGGAAAAGAAGAAGCUACUAGGUCACAAAGCUUCUACCAUAAUAUAUAUAGGCUAGGGUCGGUUGGGUUGAACGUGUAACACACUGGACCUGUGCAAAUUGCGAUGUUCGAGUGCUUGACUUGGAUUCCGAGAUUUUCCACACUUGGUGGAAGGUCGUAGACUGUAUUCCGACUCAAAAGAUCGAAUUUCUGGAUUUUGGCUAAGUCCUGAGAAUUUUCACUCUCGAGGACCGGUCCAUGGUGGGAGAGACCGAUCCCCCCGGAAUAGUGUUGCGAUAGACUUGAGGCAACCGAUCCCUAGCAGUGAGAGACCGGUUCCCGAGAGCAUGUUCAGCGGGAGGGUCCUGAGGGACCGGUCCCAGCUAGGAGAGACCGAUCCCUCUGGGCGAAAAUUGCCCAGUUCAGGCUGAUGCACAGAUUGGUUUUUUGAGGGACCUAAGUGGAUUUUGUUACAUGAGAAGGCUUUUAGGCCAUUUCCUCUCUCUCUUUCCCUUACUUCUCACUCUCUCACGCUCUCUAGAAAGAGAAGAAGAAGGAGAAAUGAGAGGAGAAGGAGAAGGAGAAGAAGGAGAGCUUGCUUUGUUUACUUGGGACUUCUUCCUUAACCUCUCCUCUCACCAUUGGAGGCUUGGAGCUUGGACUUGGAGCUUUGUGGAGAACCAAUCUUCAACCCUUGAGGAUUUUUAGCUUGGUUUGGAGCAUCCUAGAGGUAAGUGACUAGCUUCCUUCCUCUAGAUCCUAGUUUUGUAGCUUUAAACUAGAUGAAACUCUAGAUUUGGAUUUUGGGGUUUAUUUUGGGGAUUUUUGAUUGGAGGGCUUUGGGACCCAAUUGAUUGGUUUAGAACCUUUUUUUAGGUUGGAUUGGAAGGGUUUUUGCUCUUUUUUGAAGCUUGAGAAGAGAUUUCUACGGGAGGUGAGUUUUUCUCCACCUUAGCUUGAGAUGGUUAAGAUUGAACUUUUCGAUGUUCGUUUUAUUUGUGUAACUCUUGUUCCUACAUCUUUAGGGUGCUAGGAGACUAGUGGACACCUCCGUUCGGCUAAACGAAGAGUUUCAUUUUUCGGUGGGUUUGACUCAUGAAAAUGGGGCAAAAUGGCCCCUAUGCUCUCUAUACUUAUCGUAAAGUCUUUUUGAAUGUAAAUCUAUGUUAGAUAGGAUUUAUGUAAAUUUUAGAAUACUUAAAAUGCAUGUGCUAUGUGUAAGAUAAAUUUCACUCUAUAUAGUAGCACAUUCUGGGUAAUCUUCAUGCAUGUGAGAAGUGUUCGAGAUAGCAAUAAGAAUCAUGUCUCUUAUGUUAAGUUAACUCAUAAUUGUGUAAUUGUAAACAAUACACUAUGAUUGGACUUGGUGAACAAAGUGUCAUAAAGGGGCACUUGAUUUGGUAGACUAUGAAGCUAUUAUAUUGAAAUAUCGCCAUGAUGACAUAGAGAUAGGCCUUGAGACAUUCGAUACCUUUCAUGUUGUUAGACAUGAGGACUUGGUACUUGAGACGGAUCUUACGCUACUUGCCAUUGUGCUCAUUCGCACAUGCUUGUGAGGGUCGCCUCCUACAAGCCGGCACUCCGAAGAUGGCCGUCGCGAUACAUAUUCGCCAUGCGGGAUUGGGCGCCGAAGUGGAUUGCCGUGGGAAAGGCUCAUUCAUAGAGUGGGGAUGUUGACUACCACGGGGCCAUUAGGCUCGGCAUCGGCCAGACAGCCUACGGGUGGGUCUUCAGGAUAGACAGCCUUCGGGCGGGUCUCAUGAGAUUUAACUUUAAGUAGUUAACAUACUAUGUGGACAUUGACUAGAAUAGUAAAUAGUGACAUCUUUACUAUUUAGCUUGUGGACAUCAUACUAAUGAUACUUUGGUACAUUCAUGCCAGUGUAGCCUUUUAUUACUUUAGCAAAAUCAUGCUAAGUAGAGAUAUCUUGUGGUAGCAAGUAUUCUUAUGUAUUUACUCGUUGUACUUAUCGCUCUUACUUAUACUUGUUUACUGACCCCUUUUUGUAGCUUUUGGGCGUAGUGGCGCAUUUCACUGAAGUUAGUAAUUGCCCACUGGGAACUAUUAUUUAAUAGUUCUCACGCCCUCUGUUUUAAGGUUUUAUUUCAGAGCCUUUGGCACCGGCGGAGGCACGGGAUCGCGGCAAGGGUGUUGCCUAGCUUUAUAGAUAGCGGAGCUCGCUUUUGCUCCUAGGUGGUUACCCUUUUUUUUGUGUUUUUGUGUGAGAGAGAUUUUGUACCAUGUAUAGAGACCACCUAUGUAUCUUGUUUAGCUCUUGUAUUUGGGACUCCUAUUGUAUUACUUUAUGGUUUCAUUUAGUGGAUUUGGCUUAUGUUCUUUUCCCUUAUUGUAGCCUCUAGAUAUACUUUGCUCUGAUACUCUUAGAUGUUCUUCUUCUAUUGCCUUAUUUAUAGCUUUGUAUUAGACGCCUUGUAUGUUUCAGACAUAUGGCGGGUUUGGGCACGUGCCGAGCAGGCUUCCGCUGGGUCUCGGGGCGUGACAGAACGACACUUCAAAAGGACAAAAAUAUCACUUACCAACUCACUUUUCCAGCUGGAGUACCGGUACCUAACUUGAAUACCGGUACUUGGCCUCUCAACCUGCAGUCUCGCACGCUGGGUACCGCUACCAGCCCGAUGCAGUACCGGUACCCGAGCUCGAUACCGGUACUCAACAAUAGGUAUUGGUACUCAGUAUCAGUUAUACGCAAACCAGAGAGCAACCUAGUUCUGAAAUCAUGCGGGGGUACCGGUACUCUUCUCUGGUAUUGGUAUUCAAAACUGAAAUCCUAUAUGUUGCAGAUUUCAGUGUCAGAACUCCGCUCUCAUACUGCGCUGAGUCCGUUUUUGCGUCUAUUUCGCGCCAAAAUGACUCUGAUUUGUCCCGACACUCACCAGACGUGACGACAAGCCACAGAUACUGAAAUCACACAGACCGCUAAACACCAGGGACACUACAUAUACUUAUCCAACUAAAUCAAAUUAAGUUAAAAUCUUAUCUCAUAAAAUAUUAUAAAUAUUUAAUUAUUCUCUAAUCCAAUUAAAAAUAACUAAUAAUCUCUCCAUAUUUACUUAAAUCUUAUCUAAUUUUAAUCUUAUCCAAUAAGAUUACUAAAAUAUUUAAAUCUCAUUUAAAUAUCCUUUAUUUAAAUAUUAUUCACUAAUCUAAUAAGGGAUAAAUUUAAAUCUCGCGCAUACCUUUUAAACUGAUUAUGAGAUUCUAAUCCAAUUAGGACUAUCAAUAAUAACUAACUUGAAUAACUAAAUUUAAAUUAAUUAAUCAGCAUCUAAUUUUUAUCGCUUACACUAAACUUUUUAGUGAACUACUCUCAUCUAUACAAUUUAGAUGCACAUAAUUUCUAAUGUGUGUGACUGCAUAGAUUCAUUACCAUUCGACAGUGGUGCUUAACAUCAAACUAUUUAAUAUUGAAUUAAAAUUCUUCAAAUUGAUAAAUAAGAAUAAUUCAAUCCGAAUCAUUCAUGUUCUCUCAUUGUUCAUGAGUGAUACUAGUAAUAUAUCACGGCAAUCCAGAAUGGUGAUGAAAAAUAAACUCUUCAGUUACAAUUGCUGUUUAAUUAAUUCCUUCCAACAUACAAUGUCCCAAUCGAAUUAAGGUCAUCGUUACUCGCCAAACUUUAUUAUUUGACCGUAUGACUAUAAUAGUUAAAUCAACUCAAUAUGAUAACACGGUUGGAAACUCACCACAAAUCAUGUACCCUAGCUAGGGGUUUUUCUAGUCGAGUUUGAUAGACUGCAUAGGAUAUUCUCCCUCAUCAUUGAGAGUGUUGGAUUCUUUGUUGCACAUUCACAUGCCUCCCCGUAUAAACAAUAAUACUACAGCCAAUCAGUAUUUGAACAUAAAUCCGUAAGUAGAGCCAAAGUAUAAGUACUGUCAAAUGGUAGCAACCUAUACAUGAAGCAACUAUGAUGCCUCAGGUCCGAGGAGUAUUUCACACAACUAUAGUAAAGAACUAGUCACAGGAGAGUAUAGAUGUGACUGUUCAACUAAAUGGCCGUGCUUGAAUGCUUGCCCUAGUGUCUCUACACUAAUGACUUGAGAUUCGUCACUCUAAUUAAAAACACAGCAUCCACCAGCCUAUCCGGAAUACCACCGCCUCUGUAAUAUUCCUCUGGCUAGGUGCAUUUAAAGAGUCAUGUAUAAAAGGGUAUGUGUCUCAAAUUUCUAACUCUUACGAAUGUCUUCUUAGAUAAAGACCCUAUGGACGAUUCAUGUCAAUAUUGCACUGUUAGACAAUAGAUAUGAAUAGAAUGCCUGCUCUUUAUAUUAUGAAUUAUAAAUAAUUAAGCACAAAUACCCUUAAACUAGUGUCGUCAGAUUGGCUUUUGGGUAUACAACUAACAGGUAGAGCUAGAAUAGUUUUAUAAUGGGCGACCUCUUGGGAAGUGGGGCAUCACAGUGAUAUCAGAGUCAAUCGCCAACCAAAAGUAUGAGAUGAGUCUCCGCUGAGUUAGGGUAAUAUAGCGGAUAGAGUACGGCUCUCCAGUUGACGAUCGUUGUGGGUAGAGCACGACUAAAGUCAGCUAAUUUUAGCGAGAUGUCUCACGUCGACUAGUUCUUGUGAGUGUACUUGAGUCUUACGAGAACGUCAGGGCUUAAAGUGGCGAUAAAUAUAACAACUAAAGAAUUUGGAGUAGUCUCAUAUAUUAGAUAUAAUAGGGUUAAACCUCUUAACCCAACUAUAGUAUUUUGGGCGGUAAUGAGGCCUAAGAAGUAAAGAAGGUUAAGAGUACUAGAGCUAGAGUAAUUCUAGGAUAAGUUACCUGUCACGCCCCGAGUCCGGUCCUAUUUGGCCGGUUCGAGUACGUCGAACAGACGCUGAACGGACAGCACCUCCCCUAUCCGCCCAAGGCUCAACAACAAGUUCAGAGCAAGUAUAUAAGUUGCAUAGCGGAAACAUAAUUAUACUUGGCUUGGACGAGGGUAAGCAAUAACCAAAAGUGAAAGUACUAAACUAAACCAUAUACAAGUACAAUGAUUAACUUUUAACCACAUACAAGCAUUCAACCACAAGUUACAUUUACUUUUCAUCAUUUCUUUUACAUCAUAUAUUCCCCAAAAUAGGCUUUUACAUUUAACAUCUUUAAUACAUUUGCAUCACUCAUAUAACUCUAAUCAUCAAAAUAUAAAAGAUGAUAUAUAUAAAAAGUGAAUGUAACUACUCAAAAUAGAACCAGCUCGGGUGGUCUCUGUCUAUGGCGCGAUACCUUUACAGCGAUAGUCGGCCGGCUCACUCAGCUCCGGCUCUGUGGAAUAGUGGGGUGAGAACUACAACAAAGUUUGCAGUGGGUUCGGCCGCUGACCUCGCCGACUUUCCAACUAGGUCUAAAUCAGGCAUAAUAGAAAGAUAGAUAGAUAGUAACCAACUAACAAAUGCAGCUAAUAUGUCUGAACAAUAUAAUCAAUGAUUAUGCUCAAUAGAAUGUUCAUGAUGAAUGCAAGGAUUACUUUCUAAUUUUCGGUACUUUUGGCUAACCCGUAGGUUUCACCUCAACCAUCAAAUAUUCCAAUUCUCAGAACUAUUGGCUAACCCGUAGGUUUCGCCUCAGCCAACCAUUCACCAACCCAAAUCCUUGGUAUCGGGAAGAUACUCGCUACAACCCGACGGGACCGUCCUCUGGGGAGAUACUUGCUACAACCCAGUGAUGAUUACUCCGGAGCUCAUCGCUCGUGGGGGAGCUACCACCCACCAAGCCAAGACUUAUAGAUGAGUAUGAUCAAUCCUUAACUUUAAGGAUAUCAAGUUCAAUCCAAUCCUUCGCUAUGGAGAUGCUAUGCUCAUAUGACCCUUAACUUUAAGGUUGCUAUAUCAGAAUGUCAACUAUCUCUCUUUACUUGCACUCUUUAACUUACAUUAGUGUCAUUUAUACUACUUGUUUUUAUACUCAUUCAUAUGCAUUUAUUAAUGCCACACACACUAAGUGUUCAACUCUAGCAUUUAUUGUUUACUAAUGCCACAUAAUCCAUAUGUCAUAAUGUCAUUUUGUUCUUUAUCUCAUCUAGGUCUUUGUCACCAUUUAUGCAUACAUAGGGUUUCACAUGUUAUCAAUAGCUCAUAAUAUUUCAAAUGCAUCUUAUACUCAAAGCAUGCAAUUAUAUACAUUCUACUCACCCUGCAAUGCAUGAACAAAGUAUACAUAUAUAUGCUCAAAAAUGACACUUUAGACAUAAAAGAAAAUUCAAUGAUUUCGGAAGGCACCACCCACCUUGUAUGGUUGUAAAGGUGCUACGGUUCAAAUCUCGAAAAUUUUGGGCUCCUAUUCUCUCGCCUGCGGCAAAACGAAGCCGACUUAGGCUUUUUGCUAAUAACUUUGCGUAGACUCGUGGGAUCGGCAAACCGAGUCCAUAAACGAAUUAUAAAUACCCCCAAUUUGAUUUCUACUAGAUCAAUUUGCCUUAAAACCAACCUAGGGCAAAAGCCCUAAUUUUGGUGCUCUAACAAUGUCAUUUCCCCAAUACCUUGGUUUGAUCUCUAAAACAAGUAAAUGCAAGCUUGUUGAACCUCUAGGAACUCAUCUAGAACCAUUUCUAGGUCAUUCAAACCAUUCCUAGGGCAUAUAAACCGAACUCUAGAAAUCCACCAUGUGUGCACAUGAAGAAAACAUGGUUUUCAUGUGUUCCAUGGCCUCUACUAGGUUUUUACACUUGUAAGAAGAUAAAAACAAAAGAUUUAGGGUAUAAAACACAUUCCUAAGCUCAAUCUUAUAAGAAACCUUACCUUAACCCACUAGCUCUCCAAUGUCCACCUUGUAGGAGAGACCUAAACCUUCAAAAGCUCCAAAUCUCCUCCAAAAUCCUCUUUAAUCUCCUCAUUGCCUCCUUGGGGAAGAGCUUCUAGAGAGAAAGAGAGAGAGAAAUAAGAGAGGAGGGGUGUUCUCAGCUGGGAACAAGAGAAAAGAGGGGUUGGAGUCUUAUAUAGGUUGCUACAAUAGCAAAUAGACCCUCAUUCUUUUCAUAUUUGCAGAAGACUGCAGUUGCAGUUCGGGGCAUGCGUAUUGGUACUACCCGGAAGUGUCACCGGUUACACGAUUACACAGAGGCCAACUCGAGAGCUGCUUCUCUCGGUCAGCAGUCUAGUACCGAUACCAAUUAGAUUUGUCACCGGUUUAACAGCUUGACAGAGGCUAACCCGACAGCAAUUCUGCUCUCGGUUUCUGUAGUGUACCGGUGACGCCCCUGGGCUGUCACCGGUUUAACAAUGCUCCAGACUUGAUUAUUGCAUUGAUUCGAUUCCGUUUCGCGCUGAGCAAUGCUAAAAACGUUUUUAACUCUUUUGGAAUUCAACUUUAAUCCUUCCAACAUUGUUGGAAUGUUAAAUGGACCUUGUCCAACUAUUCCUUUCGCACACUUUAAUCAAUUUGUCUAAAGUUCGAUACACUAUACCGAGGUUUCGGUAUAUUACAUUCUCCACCCCUUAAGAUUAGUUUCGUCCGUGAAACUAACUUAAUCAAAAUCUAAUUCCAUACCUCAAUUCAACUCUUCAAAGAGAUGAGGAUGACGCUCUCUCAUCACGUCCUCAAGCUCCCAAGUGUCUUCUCGAUCGUCGUGGUUGCACUAAUGGACUUUAACAUACGAAAUUUCACGGUUCCGUAAUUUUCUCACCUCUUGAGCGACGAUAUAUGCCAGGAACUCCUCAUAAGUCAUAUUCUCUUGAAGCUCAAACGGUUUAUACGAGAGAAUAUGCUCAGGAUCGUGAACAUACUUGCAGAGAUUAGACACAUGGAACAUAUUGUGAACUCCCGCAAGCCUCGGUGGUAAUGCAAGCUUGUAAGCCACCGCACCGACCCAUUCCAAUAUCUCAUAUGGUCCAACAUACCGGGGACUUAACUUUCCACGGACUCCAAAUCAUUUUACUCCUCGCAUUGGCAAUACUUUCAAAAAUAUGCGGUCUCCAACCGCGAACUCUAUAUCCUUUCUCCGCUUGUCGACAUAUUUCUUUUGCCGAGAUUGCGCCGUCGCAAGUAGUUGGCGGGCAAGGCGAACUUUUUCCUUCGCCUCCCGCACCACAUCGGGGCCAAGAGCAACUCUCUCGCCCACAUCUCUCCAAUGGAUAGGAGAGCGAUACUUCUUUCCAUAAAGGGCCUCGAAUGGCGCCAUCGCGAUACUCUCUUGGUAACUAUUAUUGUACGCGAACUCCUCCAUCGAUAAACGAUCAUGCCAUCCGCCCUUAUAAUCAAGUACACACGACCGAAACAUAUUCUCAAGACUUUGUAUUGUUCUUUUCGAUUGACCAUCACUUUGAGGAUGAAAUGUCGUGCUAAAGUCGAGCCGUGUGUCCAAAGCGUCUUGCAAGCUCUUCCAAAAAUGAGAUGUGAACCUAGGGUCUCGAUCCGAUACAAUUGACACCGGAACCCCAUGAAGUCUCACAAUCUCGUCGAUAUACACUUGAGCUAACUUGUCUCCCGACCACGUGGUAUGGAUCGGCAAAAAGUGUGCCGAUUUUGUCAACUGGUCCAUAACCGCCCAAAUCGCAUCAUGCCCGGCUUGAGAUUUAGGCAAACCGGUGACAAAAUCUAUCGCGAUAUUUUUUCAUUUCCAAAUGGGUAUAGAUAAGCUUUGCAACUUUUCCGCCGAAAACUGGCGCUCCGCUUUUACUUGUUGGCACGUGAGACACUGCGCCACGAACUCCCCAAUAUCUUUCUUAAUGCCCGGCAACCAAUAGUACACUUUCAAAUCUUGAUACAUCUUGGUGCUGCCCGAGUGUAUGCUAUAGGGAGAUUGAUGCGCUUCUUGCAUGAUUACCCUCCGAAUGUCUUCAUCUUUCGGCACACACCAACGAUUUCUGAAUCGAAGUGCACGAUCGGUCCCAAUGCCAAAUUAUCGGCACAACGGCUCUCAACUUCACCCCACACCUUUUGGAGAUAAGGAUCGGAAGCUUGUAGAUCCCUAAUCUUCUCCAACAAGGUUGCACAACCAAAGCGGCAAGUGUUGUCGGCACUUCCGACGCUACUACUUCAAGAUCAAACCGUUGCAUCUCUUUUUGCAAUGAUGGUUGGGGUGUAAUUGGCGAAGCCAAGUUUCCACCGAUUUUCUACUUAGAGCAUCGACCACGACAUUUGCUUUUCCGGGGUGAUAUAGAAUAGUAACAUCGUAGUCCUUUAGCAACUCUAACCAUCGCCGCUGUCGCAUAUUAAAUACCUUUUGGGUGAACAAGUAUUUGAAACUCUUGUGAUCCGUAUAAAUCUCACAAUGCUCACCGUACAAGUAAUGUCUCCAUAACUUUAGCACGAAUAUCACCGCGGCUAGCUCAAGAUCGUGAAUCGGGUAGUUCUUUUCAUCACUCUUCAAUUGGCGCGAAGCAUAUACAAUGACUCGCCCAUUUUGCAUCAAAACACAUCCGAGGCCAAUAUAUGAGACAUCACUGUACACUACAAAGGUCUCCCCCGGCGUCGGCAAAGCAAGCACCGGGGUCGAUGUCAAUCUUUCCUUCAAUUCCUCAAAGUUCCGAUCGCAAUCGUCACUCCAAACAUACUUCACUCCUUUGUGCGUGAGACGCGUUAGUGGAGUGGUUAUUUUGGCGAACCCCUCUACAAACCGCCGGUAGUAGCCCGCUAGUCCAAGAAAACUGCGGACCUCCGCUUCAUUUGUCGGGCGAGGCCAAUCUUUAAUUGCCUCCACUUUCUUCGGAUCCAUCGAGAUGCCAUCACCCGAUAACACGUGGCCUAAGAAAGUGACCUCCGAAAGCCAAAAGUCACAUUCCUUUAGCUUAGCAUAAAGCUAAUUUUUCGGAGUAUUUCCAACAUGGUCCUUAAAUGUUCCUCGUGUUUUUCCUCGCUCCGUAAAUAAACCAACGCGUCGUCAAUGAACACCACGAUGCAUUGAUCCAACAACGGUUGAAAGACUCGAUUUACCAAGUCCAUAAAUACUGCCGGGGCAUUAGUAAGCCCAAACGGCAUUACCGUGAACUUAUAAUGGCCAUACCGCGUACGGUAUGCCGUUUUGUGCACAUCUUUCGGCCGGAUCUUUAACUGAUGAUACCUCGAUUGAAGAUCAAUCUUUGAAUAUACCUUCGACCCUUACAACUAAUCGAAUAGAUCAUCAAUCCUCGGCAAUGGAUACUUGUUCUUGAUCGUCACUUUGUUCAACUCGCGAUAAUCUACGCAGAGUCGCAGUGUGCCAUCCUUUUUCUUUACAAAUAGCGCCGGAGCUCCCCACGGUGACAUGCUUGGCCUCACAAAGCCUUUAUCGAGCAAGUCUUGCAAUUUGGCCUUUAACUCCACUAGCUCCACCAGUGCUAUUUUAUACGGAGCCUUCAAAAUUGGCGCUACCCCGGGAAUCAAAUCAAUGACGAGCUCGAUCUCCCGGUCCGGUGGCAAUCCCGGUAACUCCGCCGGAAACAUAUUCGAAAAUUCACAAGCUACUCGGAUAUUCCCAAGUUCCGGGUGCUCCUUUUGAGUAUCUACCAUUGUUGCCAAGUAGGCCAUAUAUCCACCUUUGAUCAUUUUCCUCGCCCUCGCCCUCGCCGCCGAUUCGGUCGCCGCGAAGCGCGAGUUUUUGCAUGCACGGUAUACCAUUUCCUCUUGAUUAGGCACACGAAAUGUGAUCACCUUGCUUUCACAAUCGAUAACUGCAUAAUACUUGGAGAGCCAAUUGAUCCCCAAGAUUACAUCGAAUCCCCAUAUUUGAUCCCCAAGAUUACAUCGAAUCCCCAUAUUUGGUUUAGCACCAACAAAUCUAUUGGCAUAAUCCAAUCGCCUAUCUGAACUGGACAAGCCAAGCACUGCUCAUGCACCCUAAAUGAAUGCUCAGGUGCAUUGACCCACCAAUAAUCUGGGUUAUGUAUGAUCUCUUUGCCAUGAGUUUUUGCAAAUGAUGCACCAAUGAAUGAAUGAGAUGCACCUGUGUCGAAUAAAGCUCUAGCUCUAGUGCCAUUGAUCAAGAUAAUACCUGCCACGACAUCUCAGGAACCGCAGGCUGCUCCUCCACCUAAGUGGCAAAAAUUCGUCCACUCGGUGCUCUAGAUCCCUCCGGCUAACGCGGUGCUGAUAAGCGUCCAGCAGAUAUAGCCGGUGGUAAUCCUGCAAACUGUCUCAGGGUAGAAGGAACUGAUGCCACCGACGGUGCAGACGGUGCCCAUCUCUGGCAAUCCCGAGCAACAUGCCCUGCUUGGCCAUACUUAUAGCACUUUCCUUCGCGUUGCGGGCAACUCGGUGGUCUAUGAUCACCGCCACAAAUAACACACUGAGUCGGCCCCCAACUCCUCGACUGCUGCCAUGAAUAACGGGGGAGCUUCUUAGAAUUCGCCCGACCCUCGCUACCACCUGCAGACCGCUUCUUUUCUUUGUCCCUCUACUCGGCCAUGGACUCGCGCUCCUCUCGCACGUGGGCAUCGCCAUGCUCCGCCCACAAUACUCGAUCAAAGACUUCAACAAAGGUCGUGAGCUUGAACAGCUGCACGGCCCUAUAAACCCCAAGCCUAAGUCCUCGCAAGAACCAGUCGGCCCGGUCCCGGUCAUCUCGAACAACCUCCGGGACGCAAUCAAUGAUGUCGGAGAACUCCUACUCGUAAGCCGCCACCGAUCGAUCACCUUGCCUUAGCUUGCAGAAUUUUUCUUGUACCUCCCGCUUCACCGUGUCCGGGAAGUAGUUCGCGAACAUCACCCUCUUGAACUCCUCCCACAAUAUAGGCGGAAGAUCGGAAGACCGAUCCCGCUUUACUCAUUUCCACCACACUUUCGCCGCCUUCUCUAAACAAUGAGUGGCAAGGUGCACCUUGUCUUUUUCCGAAGUAUAUAUGUCAUCGAAGAGCGACUCUAUCGAGUCGAUCCAUGACUCCACCAUUGACGGCUCUACCUUUUUCCUGUCAAACGUAGGUAGGCUAAGAGCCGCAAGUGCACGAUCCCGCUCCGCCUCUACGGCCGCACUAUCGGAAUUUGAGGUUCCCGAUCCGGCCGGUAUCGCCGUCACUGGUACGGCCGCGACCGGCGUCGCCAUCGCCGCUACUCCCUCGACCACCAUCGGCACCACUGCAGGGGGCGCAGGAUGCUCGGCGCCCACUUGCGCCGCCGUCGCCUGUUGCCGCUUUAAGGCCUCUUGAAGCCUUUGGAUUUGCUCCCCUUGGCGCUGCAUAGACUCCGCUUGCUGUUGCACUACUCCAAUAAGCGCGGCCAUUUGCUCUCGAAGCUCCCCGUCGCCACUUGCUCCAGGUUGCGCAGGAGCCGCACUCGAUUCCUCGGGCAUAGAUCUCGUUCGGGGUCGACCACGAGGCAUUGCUUCCUGAAACAUUAUAACUCACAUUAGUUACUCAACCGAUAAACUCAAAUAUACCCAAUACCGCGAAAACAAACAAGUGUAUUUAUUUUCCUUCCAAAGCAUUAUAUCGUCGGCCGCCGAUCACAACACAAGGAAUAGAAAACAAAUAUCAACUUGAAUUUAGCCCCUAACCACAUUAGAGACACACUAACAUUAACCCAAUCACAAGCUUUCACUAUAUUUUGAUCCCACGUCACUCACGUUUCCUAGAUCCUUAAGGUUCUCAUUCCUAAGGGUCUCUAGGUCCAUCCUAUACUUUUACUUUUAGGCUCUGAUACUAUUAUAUCUGUCACGUCGAACAGACGCCGAACAGACAGCACCUCCCAUGUUCGCCCAAGGCUCAACAACAAAUACCGAGCAAGUAUAUAAAUUGCAUAACGGAAACAUAAUUAUACUUUGCUUGCACAAGGGUAAGCAAUAGCCAAAAGUGAAAGUACUAAACUAAAUCAUAUACAAGUACAAUGAUUAACUUUUAACCGCAUACAAACAUUCAACCACAAGUUAUAUUUACUUUUCAUCAUUUCUUUUACAUCACGUAUCCCCAAAAUAGGCCUUUACAUUUAACAUCUUUAAUACAUUUGCAUCACUCAUAUAACUCUAAUCAUCAAAAUACAAAAGAUGAUAUAUAUAAAAAAGGUAUGUAACUACUCAAAAUAGAACCCGCUCGGGUGGUCUCUGUCUAUGGCGCGAUACCUUUACCGCGAUCGUCGGCCGGCUCACUCGGCCCUGGCUCUGUGGAAAUAGUGGGGUGAGAACUACAACAAAGUUCCUAGUGGAUUCGACCGCCGACCUCGCCGACUUUCCAACUAGGUUUAAAUCAGGCAUAAUAGAAAGAUAGAUAGAUAGUAACCAAUUAACAAAUGCAGCUAAUAUGCCUGAACAAUAUAAUAAAUGAUUAUGCUCAAUAGAAUGCUCAUAAUGAAUGCAAGGAUUACUUUCUAAUUUUCGGUACUUUUGGCUAACUAGUAGAUUUCACCUCAAUCAUCAAGUAUUUCAAUUCUCGGUACUUUUGGUCAACCCGUAGAUUUUGCCUCAACCAACCACUUGCCAACCCAAAUCCCUGGUAUCCGGGAGAUACUCGCUACAACCCGACGGGACCGUCCUCUGGGGAGAUACUCGCUACAACCCAGUGAUGACUACUCCAGAACUCAUUGCUCAUGGGAGAGCUACCACCCACCGAGCCAAGACUUAUAGGUGAGUAUGAUCAAUCCUUAACUUUAAGGAUACCAAAUUCAAUCCCAUCCUUCGCUAUGAGCAUGCUAUGCUCAUAUGACCCUUAAUUUUAAGGUUCCUAUGUCAUAAUGUCAACUAUCUCUCUUUACUUGCACUCUUUAACUUACAUUAGUGUCAUUUACACUACUUGUUCUUUAUACUCAUUUAUGUGCAUUCAUUAAUGCCACACACACUAAGUAUUCAACUCUAGCAUUUAUUGUUUACUAAUGCCACACAAUCCAUAUGUCACAAUGUCAUUUUGUUCUUUACCUCAUCUAGGUCUUUAUCACCAUUCAUGCAUACAUAGGGUUUCACAUGUUAUCAAUAGCUCAUAAUAUCUCAAAGGCAUCUUAUACUCAAAGCAUGCAAUUAUAUACAUUCUACUCACCCUACAAUGCAUGAAUAAAGUAUACAUACAUAAGCUUAAAAAUGACACUUUAGACAUAAAAAAAAAUUCAAUGAUUUCGGAAGGCACCACCCACCUUGUAUGGUUGUAAAGGUUCUACGGUUCAAAUCUCGAAAUUUUUGGGCUCCUAUUUUCUCGCCUGCGGCAAAACGAAGCCGACUUAGGCUUUUUGCUCAUAACUUUGCAUAGACUCUUCGGAUCGGCGAACCGAGUCCAUAAACGAAUUAGAAAUACUCCCAAUUUGAUUUUUAUAAGGUCAAUUUGCCUUAAAACCAACCCAGAACAAAAGCCCUAAUUUUCGUACCCUAACAAUGUCAUUUCUCCAAUACCUUGGUUUGAUAUCUAAAACUAGCAAAUGCAAGCUUGUUGAACCUCUAGGAACUCAUCUAGAACCAUUUCUAGGUCAUUCAAACCAUCCCUAGGGCAUAUAAACCGAACUCUAGAAAUCCAUCAUGAGAGCAUAUGAAAAAAACAUGAUUUUCAUGUGUUCCAUGGCCUCUACUAGAUUUUUACACUUGUAAGUAGAUCAAAACCAAAGAUCUUGGGUAUAAAACCAAGCCCUAAGGUCAAUCUUACAAGAAACCUUACCUUAACCCACUAGCUCUCCAAUGUCCACCUUGUAGGAGAGACCUAAACCUUCAAAAGCUCCAAAUCUCCUCCAAAAUCCUCUCUAAUCUCCUCCUUGCCACCUUAGGGGAGAGCUUCUAAAGAGGGAGAUGGAGAGAAAUGAGAGAGAAGGGGUGUUCUCAGCUGGGAACAAGAGAAAAGAGGGGUUCGGGUCUUAUAUAAGUUGCUAUAAUAGCAAAUAGACCCUCAUUCUUUUCAUAUUUGCAGCAGACUGCAGCUGCAGUUUAGGGCAUUGCGUACAGUUCUACUCAGAAGUGUCACCGGUUACACAAUUACGCAGAGGCCAACCCGAGAGCUGCUUCUCUCGGUCAGCAGUCGGUACCGGUAUCAAUUAAAUUUGUCACCGGUUUAACAGCUUGACAGAGGCUAACCCGAGAGCAAUUCUGCUUUCGGUUUCUGUAGUGUACCGGUGACUCCCCUGGGCUGUCACCGGUUCAACAAUGCUCCAGACUUGAUUAUUGCAUUAAUUCGACUCCGUUUCGCGCCGAGCAAUGCUAAAACCUUUUUAACUCUUUUAGAAUUCAACUUUAACCUUUCCAAUAUCGUUAGAAUGUUAAAUGGACCUUGUCCAACUAUUCGUUUCGCACACUUUAAUCAAUUUGACUAAAAUCCGAUAUACUCUAUCGAGGUUUCGAUAUAUUACAUUACUUUUUUGGGAGACGGGGCAUCACAGCUGGUAUUGAAGCCAAUCACUAGCCAAAAGUAUGAUAUAAGCCUCAGCUUAAUUAGAGUCGUAUAGUGUGUAGAAUAUGGCUCUCCCUAGUGUUAUGGGUAGAGCACCGCUCCCCAUAAAGUCAACUAAGCCUACUGAGACAAAUCUCACAUCGUCUGGUGUUUGUAAGCGUGUUUUAGCCUAAUAAGGACGUUAGAAUUUAAAGGGGGAAAGAAAUAUAAUACCCCUAGGAUUAGGAAUAAUCUUAUAUAUUAGAUAUAAUAAGGAUAAGCUUUUUAACCCGGCUAUAAUAUUUUGAGUGGUGGCUAGGCCAAAGAGUAACAAGGGUUAAGCGUGCUAGAAUUAGAGUGGUUAUAGGAUCGGUGACCAUCAUGGGAAGCGAUGCGUCACAUAUUCAAAUUAAACAAAUUAAAAGGUUAGAUAGUAAAAUCAAAAUUUCGAAAUAUUGAGUAACCAAAUCAAGAUUGCUCAUUUUUCAAAUAAGUUUAUAUACUUUCACAUUUUAGUAAAUAAAACUUUACAAGUCAACAAGUACGAAAAAAAUACUACCUUGGGAUGUAUGAUGUACACUUUAACCAUCUAAUGGGUGAGGUUUAUUUACUUGUCACAUGAUGUGACUAAUAAAAUAACCUCAAUCAUUAGAUGGAUGAGAUGUAUAUCAUACACCCAAAAAUGAUGUAUGAAAAGCGUUGCUUCAACAACUACUACUUCACUAGCUAGAGAGCUAUUAAAUUUGAGGAAAUUUUGAAUUAAGUGAGAAUAGAAAUUUAAAUAAAAAGAUAGAAGCUGAUGCAGAAUGAGUAAAAUACAGCACGAAAUUAAGAGGUCCAUUUCAAAUGGCCAAUAUUAAAAUGGCCAAUACUAAAUUUAUUUUCUAAUCGUUGUCAUGUAUUACAAUUUAGUCUUUGGCUAAUUAAAAAAAUAAGUACUAAACGAUGGAAACGAAUUUAGGCGCAUUGAAGAAUUCGUAAAACAAACCGAAAUCAGAUUCAGAGAUAAUUAUAUUAAAAUAUAUGAAAUUUAUGUGAAUUUUAUAAAAAAUUUUCAUAAUAUUUUACAAAAACUAUACAAUUCAAUGGCUGAAUUUUAAUCUUGAAAUUAUAAAUAAUACUAAUCUUCUCGUGAUUUACACUUUUUUACCAAUUAAAUAGUGUCACUAUACUAGUUUGUAAAUUUAUUGUAAAUAUAACAUUAUUCAAAAACUAAAAGACAACCAAAUUGUAAUAUCAAUAUUGGUGGGAGGCGGAACGCUCGGAUCAUGGCUAAUGGACACAUACACAAUUCUAAACUCCCAAUUCAUAUCUCUUUGUUGAUUAUUGAUUAUUGAUAUCAAAAUUAAUUAUUGAUGAUUAUUGAUAAGAGGUUGGGCCAUCCUUACCAAUGGAUUAAAAUAUAGAAGAACCCUCUAAACUUUAACAUUUGUGCAAAUAGAUAUAUAAACUUGUAAUUUUGUCAAUUAUACUGUUUAAAGUUUAUUAAAUAAUUUAAAAUAGAUUUCUUUCCUAAAUUGAAGUUACUAAUAACUAAGUUAUUUUGGUCGCUCGUUUGAAAAUCUGAAAUAAGAUUUUCUUCUCUUCUAACAUGUGAUAAAAGUAAUGAAAAUGGAAGAUUAUGCAUCUGCAAAACACGUGAUUCAAAUGGCCGUUCGAUUUGUAAAUUUACUUGAGGGAAGGUACCAAUUGACCUAUAUAUUCAAUAAACUUUAGAGGGUUUUAUUGCCAAAAACUAAAUGUUGAGGGGUUUAAUUGCAAAAAGUGCUGCAGUUUAAGAGGACUAUGGUCGAGUUUAAAAUUGCCCCUUCAACUUCUACUUAUUUCAUUUAUACACCGUACUAUCCAAUUAAUUGUCUUAAUUAGACUUCUCUUCCAGUAAAAAAGUUAGAAACUUUUUAUGUUCGAUCUCAAUUAUCAAUAACUAUAUAGAGUAACGAGAGACACAGGAGCAGCUGAGAUUUAAAACAACAGCGGCAACAAUAAAAAACAAUAAUGGCAAUAGACUUCAGAUAUAAAUGAAAGUUCAGCUCCUUCUCACGACAACAUUGUGUUGUCUCAAUUACUUUCCUGCUUUACAUAGGUUUUACACAUUCAUCGAUUAUUAAGACGUAAAAAUAUAUUUUUUUUCUCUUUUUUUUUUUUUUUUGACAGAUAGGUAGCAUGCUACCCGCUUCAUUUAUUUCAUUUAGAAAUAAACUUAGCUGGAAAUGUAAAUCAACUAGGAUUCGAACUUAGGUCUCGGAUACCAAUCACCAAGCCCUUUGCCACUUGCUCUAGAGACGGUCGGUACGUAAAAAUAUUUUCUAAUUAUCUUAUUGGUGCAGGAGCAUACCUAAAACAAGUUGAUAAAAGGUAUAAAUCAAAACAAUAAGGGAUUAUUUGGUUCAUCUAUUUUAAACUCUGAUAUCUAAAUAAAAUUCGCAAACUCGGAUAGCUGUACAUUGUCUAUUUUACAGAAAUCGAAUUUUAAUUCUCAUUCCAUUCUGAAAUGAAAAUGAUCCGCUCUAUUAGUAGCUCAAUUUGACUUUGAACUCUGAAUUGACGCAUUCAAGACUAAACUACUCAAAACUCUCUCACAAAUAUUUUCCUCUCAUGUUCCGUCAUCAUUCUGUUCUCAUUUGAUCAAAACAUUCUCUCAAAUCCUAAAUGACCCAAAUGUUCAUUCCAAUCCAAUAAUAAAUAAAAUAUUUAUGGAUCAUUCGUAUUCUACUUUCUAUUCUAAUGCAUUUUAAUUUAAUUUUCUAUACACAUUCUAAUCAUGAAUCAAACAUAUUCUAAAAACUAGUUAUGUACAUUUUUGGUUAUCAACAUAUGAGUCACGUGACAUUUUAGUUCUUAAAUUUUAAUAAGUCUGGCUUAAAUUAUGAGGUACGUAAUAUUUUAGUCACCAAACUUUAUAAACUAAAGUAAUAUCGUAAUUGAUAAUACAAUAAUAAUUAAGAUAUUACAUCACUUCGAUAUCAAUAAUUCGUCAAUACUUAUUCAAAAAAAAUUUGAAUUGUGAGAAUUAACUAUAAUAACUAAAAAACUUUGAGAAUUAAAGUAUCACACACACCUUAUAGUUUGAACCAGAAAUUACAACUAAUUAAAAUUUAAGGACUAAAGCGUCAUAUGUCUCGUUGUGCGAGCCAAAAAUUGCGACGAGUUAAAUUUCGAAAACUGAAGUGUCGCGCUAACGGUAGUUUGAGGAUCAAAAACACAGUUUACCUUGUUGGAAAAGUUGAGUGAAGGUGAAGCAUUUUCAAACUGAGGUACAGAACAGGAGUCACCUACGUUUUGCUCAGCAUUAAUAAUAAGUUGGGGUGGGCUGGUGGUGCCCGGUGGACUGUGAAUGAAUGCCGCAAGAAAGCGGCUCGUUUUGGUUGGAUUGAUUGACGGGCGAUGGCGAUGUCAAGGAGGACAGAUCCAACGGUGGCUGGCUGAGGUAGGCUCAUCGGGCGGCUGAGAUUGGUCGUGCAGUGGUCACAAUUGGGGCAAUUAAUAAGCUGAUCCACCUCCCACCAGCCUGCGUGGUAUCUUCCUCGCUAAUUAAUUUGAACCAGGUGUCCAAUUAAUAAUUAGAGCCUUUUUAAAAAAAAAAAAAAAAAGAAUUUCUUGAUUUAUUUUCAUUUGGUUUCAUUUAUUGGGUUAAAAAUAUAUACGUGCACGGCACCGUCUGCUUCGCACUCGUCCGUCGCGGUCACUGCUACCGUUGUAUAUUUAUUUAUAUUGAAUUUAUGGCACAACUUAGACUGCAUGAGAUAAUUAAUAAGAGAAUGAGACUUAUUAUAUAUAAAUAAAUGGAUUCAUAGCUAUUACAUUUAAGCUUUGACAUCGUAUUGAUGAAUUUUAUUUGACAUGUCAUUUUCUUAAAUAUGUGUGGGCUUAGGUCCGAUGNACCACACCAUCGACAAUGUAGGCAUUAAGUCAAGGAUUGGGGACCUUUAAUUGUACCAAAAAAGUAAAAAAUAAAAAUUACGAGGCUUCUAAAGUUUUUAAUAAUACAUAAUUUAUUUUUACAACUCAUAAAAGUUGUACGUACUGGUUGUUUCUAUGAUUUUUAGAACCAAGCAAUUAACCCUAAUUCUGAGCCUCUAUAAUUAUUAUUAGUUGAUUCCUCUUGUUACUAUUCAACUGAUGAUCAUAUGAGAGUCAUUCCCGCUCUUAAUUAGAUGCAGUUUAAGUCACGCCAUGUCUAUUAAAAUCUAUCUAGUAAUUAUUGCGACUGUUCAGAGUUUUCAUUCAGACUUCUCCGUUGGCUAAUUUUCAGUCAGCAGAAAAAAAAAAAAAAAAAAAAAAAAAAAAAAAAAACAGUUUAAUCGAUUUUUUCUUCAAUUCCUUCUCUAUUAUCUUCUAUAUAUUUUUGGGUCAUAUAUCUUCUAAGGACUCUCUUUUCUUUGAUAUCUGUUAAGAUUUUUGGAUCUCCUUCAAGAUCUUUUAGAACUCUCGUGAUGAUCGAAUUUAAGAGUUAUUCUCUGUGUUUGGACUAGAGUUGGAUGUUGUUGAAGAUUUGGUGCUUGAUAUGAAAUUUGAAUAUCUUUUAUUUCUUUUUUUUUUUAUUUGGGCUUAAUGUUGGAGUUUUUUUUUAUUUUUAUUUUUUUGAUUAAACAGGGAUUGACCCUAUUUGAUAGAGAAUGUUGGAGUUUCAAUUUACUUUUUCUUCUCUGGAUUGAGAACUAACAUCAAAUUAUUUUCUUUUUCUUUUUCUUUUCCUUUUUUUCUAUCUUCGUAUUGAUUGGGGAUCGGCAAUAGAUAGAUUCCUAUUAUUUUACUUUGAUUAGUGUUGAAUCCAACGUCUGAACUUUUUUUUUUUUUCUUUGGUUUAUUUUGAUUAGGUUAGAAAUCGUCAUCAAUAUCUCAUCCUUUGUAGUUUGUAAAGAUGGAGUGUGAUUGCUUUCCAGUUAGAAAAAGUAGCUGUUUGGCCCGGCACUGUUUGGGGCGGCCAAACUGCACUGCCAACGAUGCAAAGUCAGGCCAAACUGCACUAGCCCCCAUAAUGCGCUGUUUGGCAUCGGCUGCGAGCUGAUUUUUUUGACCGCUGACUCGGUCGAAACCCUCCUUUCGGAAAGUGCGCGAGGAGGUGGAGUGGCUAUGAAUGAUGACUUUCGAAACUUACGCCCACUGUCGAAUCAAGUGAUUCGACUAAUGAGGGAUCGGAUUAGGGGGUGUAUGGCCUAGCUUUUAAAAAGCGCUUUUGGGCUGAAAAGUGAUUUCCGGCUCAAUAAAUUAUUUGGCAACUCACUUUUAAAAUCUGAUUCUACUUUUUAGAAUCAGAAAACUCAUUUUGAAGACUCCAGAAUCAGAAGCAGUAAAAAGCUGUUUCUUGAAAUCUGAUUCUGAUUUUAGAUUUAAACUUUAAAUUUUUAUUUUUAUUUUAAUUUCAAUAUUUAAAUUUAAAUUUAAUUUUAAUUUUUAAAUUUCAUAUUCAUUUUUGAAUUUUUAAAUUUUAAAUUUUAAAUUUUAAAUUUUGAAAAAUAGAUUUCAAAUUUUAAAUUUUAAAUUUUAAAUUUCAAAUCUCAAAUUUUAGAUUUUCAAAUUUCAAAUUUCAAAUUUCAGAUAAAAUUUAAAAUCUGACAUUUUAGAUUUUAAAAUUUAAAUGUAAAAAUUUAAAAUUUUUAAAUUUUAAAUU
rnacentral:lncRNA from 1 species